AUUGAACGCUGGCGGCAGGCCUAACACAUGCAAGUCGAGCGGAUGAAGGGAGCUUGCUCCUGGAUUCAGCGGCGGACGGGUGAGUAAUGCCUAGGAAUCUGCCUGGUAGUGGGGGAUAACGUCCGGAAACGGGCGCUAAUACCGCAUACGUCCUGAGGGAGAAAGUGGGGGAUCUUCGGACCUCACGCUAUCAGAUGAGCCUAGGUCGGAUUAGCUAGUUGGUGGGGUAAAGGCCUACCAAGGCGACGAUCCGUAACUGGUCUGAGAGGAUGAUCAGUCACACUGGAACUGAGACACGGUCCAGACUCCUACGGGAGGCAGCAGUGGGGAACAUUGGACAAAGGGCGAAAGCCUGAUCCAGCCAUGCCGCGUGUGUGAAGAAGGUCUUCGGAUUGUAAAGCACUUUAAGUUGGGAGGAAGGGCAGUAAGUUAAUACCUUGCUGUUUUGACGUUACCAACAGAAUAAGCACCGGCUAACUUCGUG
rnacentral:rRNA from 1 species